rnacentral:rRNA from 1 species
GACGAACAUUGGCGGCAUGGAUUAGGCAUGCAAGUCGAGCGAGAAGUGUAGCAAUACACGGAAAGCGGCGGAAGGGAGAGUAAUACGUGGGAAUCUGCCCUUAGACCUGGGAUAGCAGCGGGAAACUGCUGGUAAUACCAGAUAAUGUCUAUGGACCAAAGGUGUGAUUCCGUCUAGGGAUGAGCCAACGUCCUAUUAGCUAGUUGGUAGGGUAAUGGCCUACCAAGGCGAUGAUGGGUAGCGGGUGUGAGAGCAUGACCCGCCUCACUGGGACUGAGACACUGCCCAGACACCUACGGGUGGCCGCAGUCGAGAAUCUUCGGCAAUGUGCGCAAGCCUGACCGAGCGAUGCCGCGUGCGGGAUGAAGGCCUUCGGGUUGUAAACCGCUGUCGAGGGGGAGCAACUUCCAUAGAGUUAUCUUUAUGGAUUGAGUGAUCCCUGGAGGAAGGACGGGCUAAGUUCGUGCCAGCAGCCGCGGUAAAAC